GACGAACGCAGGCGGCGUGCUUAACACAUGCAAGUCGAACGCUGAAGGCUCAGCUUGCUGGGCUGGAUGAGUGGCGAACGGGUGAGUAACACGUGAGUAACCUGCCCUCUUCUUUGGGAUAACGGUCGGAAACGGCUGCUAAUACCGGGUAUUCACUGUCCUUCGCAUGGGGGGUGGUGGAAAGGGUUUUUUCUGGUGGGGGAUGGGCUCGCGGCCUAUCAGCUUGUUGGUGGGGUGAUGGCCUACCAAGGCUUUGACGGGUAGCCGGCCUGAGAGGGUGACCGGUCACAUUGGGACUGAGAUACGGCCCAGACUCCUACGGGGGGCAGCAGUGGGGAAUAUUGCACAAUGGGCGAAAGCCUGAUGCAGCGACGCCGCGUGAGGGAUGGAGGCCUUCGGGUUGUAAACCUCUUUCGCUCAUGGUCAAGCCGCAGCUUUGGGUUGUGGUGAGGGUAGUGGGUAAAGAAGCGCCGGCUAACUACGUGCCAGCAGCCGCGGUAAUACGUAGGGCGCGAGCGUUGUCCGGAAUUAUUGGGCGUAAAGGGCUUGUAGGCGGUUGGUCGCGUCUGCCGUGAAAUCCUCUGGCUUAACUGGGGGCGUGCGGUGGGUACGGGCUGACUUGAGUGCGGUAGGGGAGACUGGAACUCCUGGUGUAGCGGUGGAAUGCGCAGAUAUCAGGAAGAACACCGGUGGCGAAGGCGGGUCUCUGGGCCGUUACUGACGCUGAGGAGCGAAAGCGUGGGGAGCGAACAGG
rnacentral:rRNA from 1 species